GACAGAGGGUGCAAACGUUGUUCGGAAUUACUGGGCGUAAAGCGCGCGUAGGCGGCUCUGCAAGUCGGGUGUGAAAUCCCCAGGCUUAACCUGGGAACUGCAUUCGAGACUGCAUUGCUAGAGUAUGGGAGAGGGAAGUGGAAUUUCCGGUGUAGCGGUGAAAUGCGUAGAUAUCGGAAGGAACAUCAGUGGCGAAAGCGACUUCCUGGACCAAUACUGACGCUCAUGUGCGAAAGCGUGGGGAGCAAACAGG
rnacentral:rRNA from 1 species